CCUACGGGAGGCAGCAGUGAGGAAUAUUGGUCAAUGGACGAGAGUCUGAACCAGCCAAGUAGCGUGAAGGAUGACUGCCCUAUGGGUUGUAAACUUCUUGUAUAGGGGAAUAAACUGUGCCACGUGUGGGAUUUUGUAUGUACCAUAUGAAUAAGGAUGGGCAAACUCCGUGCCAGCAGCCGCGGUAAUACGGAGGAUCCGGGCGGUAUCCGGAUUUAGUGGGUUUAAAGGGAGCGUAGGGGGGUUGUUAAGUCAGUUGUGUAAGUUUGCGGCUCAACCGUAAAAUUGCAGUUGAAACUGGCAGUCUUGCGUACAGUCGAGCUAGGCGUACUUCGUUGUGUAGCUGU
rnacentral:rRNA from 1 species